AACGAACGCUGGCGGCAUGCCUAACACAUGCAAGUCGAACGAGACCUUCGGGUCUAGUGGCGCACGGGUGCGUAACGCGUGGGAACCUGCCCUUAGGUUCGGAAUAACUCCCCGAAAGGGGUGCUAAUACCGGAUAAUGUCUUCGGACCAAAGAUUUAUCGCCUUUGGAUGGGCCCGCGUUGGAUUAGCUAGUUGGUAGGGUAAAAGCCUACCAAGGCGACGAUCCAUAGCUGGUCUGAGAGGAUGAUCAGCCACACUGGGACUGAGACACGGCCCAGACUCCUCCGGGGGGCAGCAGUGGGGAAAAUUGGAAAAGGGGCAAAACCCUGAUCCAGCAAUGCCGGGGGAGUGAUGAAGGCCUUGGGGUUGUAAAGCUCUUUUCCCCGGGAUGAUAAUGACGGUACCGGGGGAAAAAGCCCCGGCUAACCCCGU
rnacentral:rRNA from 1 species